rnacentral:snoRNA from 1 species
UUGAGCUGUGCUAAAAACAGUUCCUGCUCCUGUCCGUGGCUGGAACUGGCUGAUGGUUUGCAGAUGAAGUUAUUCUGUUUGUUUUAGUCAAAUAUAUGGAACUCCAAAAUAAUUCUGUACAAAUAGAUCU